GCCCCCGUAGUUUAAUGGAUAGAAUAACCGGCUUCGAACCGGUUGAUGUGGGUUCAAUUCCUGCCGGGGGCACCA
rnacentral:tRNA from 15 species